rnacentral:rRNA from 1 species
UACGAAGGGGGCUAGCGUUGCUCGGAAUCACUGGGCGUAAAGGGCGCGUAGGCGGUCAUAUAAGUCAGGGGUGAAAGCCUGUGGCUCAACCACAGAAUUGCCUUUGAUACUGUAUGACUAGAGACCGGAAGAGGUAAGUGGAAUUGCGAGUGUAGAGGUGAAAUUCGUAGAUAUUCGCAAGAACACCAGUGGCGAAGGCGGCUUACUGGUCCGGUUCUGACGCUGAGGCGCGAAAGCGUCGGGAGCAAACAGG